GGCAAUCCAAUUCCCCUGAACACCACUGACACCCAAAGACAGACUAAACACCAGGCCGCAAAGUGCCAGACUGAAAGAAAAAUACCAGCAGCCCAUUAGGACACUGGCUUUUGCAACACAAGGUGGUCGGCUUUUCUGCAAUUUGGAGAAAGAACAAAAUGAAACACAAAAAUGCAGUAAGACUUCCUCAAGCUAACCUGCAGGUUGUUUGGAAAGCAAGUUUCUCUAGUUAAAAUUAUCAGCAAGGAUCUACACUCUCCCAGCCCACUGUACAUUUCCUGAUACGUCCACCCUCGGUUUUUCAUGACGUUCAAUUUCUGCCUCUAGGGCUCCCCUUCAAAUUAAAAAAAAAGUCUGCUAGAAA